GAAUGAGAUGAUGAUCAAAUUUGUUUCCCUAUUGGUUUGAUUGCCAAAAUGAUGGCAUCUACUUGUGUAUUAGCUCUAGCUGAUCAUUC